CGCCGGGGCCGCCAUCUUGUAUUCCAGCCCCGGCCCUGUGCAGUGCGCAUGCUCUGCCCACCAUUGUUGCUCGACUGACCCGUGCCUCCAUCUUUGUUGUGGCAGAGUAGCAGAAAUCGAUUUUUUUUUUGGUUCCAGCUCCUGUCUCAAGACUUCCACCAUAGAGACCCGCACCAGCAUUCCACCUGCGGUGUAGCCUGACUCUCCGAUCCAUUUUGGAUUCAUCUGUUUCCAGCCACAACUUUACCUGCUUCCAGCCCAGCUUCCAGCAGAGUACAGCUUCUCUUAAAGGGCCGGUGUCCUUUCUACAGUUUACCACUCUCCACCGCAGUCCAGCUUUCCCUGGAACACCAGCUGGUACGAUCCUGGGCUUUCUUCAUUGCUACAGUCGGGCCUGGUAAGGACUUUCCAACUCGCAGAUAAUAAGAACUGUCUCAUACUACCAGAGCUCUGUGGCCCCUGCCACCCUGUAGUACCCAGGAACUGUAUUAUUUCUCUGCUGAUUUUAUGUUUCUUUUACUGCUACUGUGAUGCAUGGAGUUUGUCAUAAAUAAACAUCAUUGACUUUUAUUCAA